rnacentral:rRNA from 1 species
CACGUAGGGCGCAAGCGUUGUCCGGAAUUAUUGGGCGUAAAGAGCUCGUAGGCGGACUGUCACGUCUGCUGUGAAAAGCUGGGGCUUAACCCUGGCCUUGCAGUGGAUACGGGCAGACUAGAGGUAGGUAGGGGAGAAUGGAAUUCCCGGUGUAGCGGUGAAAUGCGCAGAUAUCGGGAGGAACACCGGCGGUGUAGACGGCUCUCUGGACCGUAACUGACGCUGAGAUACGAAAGCGUGGGUAGCAAACAGG